UACGUAGGGUGCAGGCGUUAAUCGGAAUUACUGGGCGUAAAGCGUGCGCAGGCGGUCUUUUAAGUCAGAUGUGAAAUCCCCGGGCUCAACCUGGGAAUGGCAUUGGUGACUGCACGGCUAGAGUGUGUCAGAGGGGGGUAGAAUUCCACGUGUAGCAGUGAAAUGCGCAGAUAUCAGGAGGAACACCGGUGGCGAAGGCGGGACUCUGGGCCGAUACUGACGCUGAGGAGCGAAAGCGUGGGGAGCAAACAGG
rnacentral:rRNA from 1 species